UACAGAGGGUGCGAGCGUUGUUCGGAAUUAUUGGGCGUAAAGGGCGCGUAGGCGGUGCGGUAAGUCACCUGUGAAAUCUCCUGGCUCAACUGGGAGCUUGCAGGCGAAACUGCCGUGCUGGAGUGUGGGAGAGGUGCGUGGAAUUCCCGGUGUAGCGGUGAAAUGCGUAGAUACCGGGAGGAACACCUGUGGCGAAAGCGGCGCACUGGACCACAACUGACGCUGAGGCGCGAAAGCUAGGGGAGCAAACAGG
rnacentral:rRNA from 1 species